UUCUAGUGAUUUCUCUUCAGAUCGUAUAAAUCUUCUGCUUUUUACUAAAGAUUUCUGUGGAGAGGAACAUUAAUGAGUUUGUAACAAAUUUUUUGAGGUCCUGUUCUAACAAAUU
rnacentral:snRNA from 1 species